rnacentral:lncRNA from 1 species
UUGGAGUUCACUGGUGUCCUUUUAGUGGAUUAACUCGGCUGCCAUCGUCUUUUGAGUAAGAAACGAUUUUACUCAUUUUACGGUAGAGAUUAGUUGUGUUUUUUAACUUGUUCACAAUUUUGUUAUUGAUGAUUUGCCUCAUUAGGCGAGCUUGUAAUGUUGAAAUUGUACCGUCUGCUUAUAUAGUUCUGAACGAGAAUGCUUCCAUACUUGUAGUUUGAAGUCGGAUAGGCUAGUGUAGCAUGUGCAUAUACACCAGUGAUUAAUCAAAACUCAUAGAAGUGAAAAACCCAAGUAAAUGGCCCCAUGAACUUUGGCAUACAAAAGAUGGA